GAUGAACGCUGGCGGCGUGCCUAAUACAUGCAAGUCGAGCGAACAGACGAGGAGCUUGCUCCUCUGACGUUAGCGGCGGACGGGUGAGUAACACGUGGAUAACCUACCUAUAAGACUGGGAUAACUUCGGGAAACCGGAGCUAAUACCGGAUAAUAUAUUGAACCGCAUGGUUCAAUAGUGAAAGACGGUUUUGCUGUCACUCAUAGAUGGAUCCGCGCCGCAUUAGCUAGUGGGUAAGGUAACGGCUCACCAAGGCGACGAUGCGUAGCCGACCUGAGAGGGUGAUCGGCCACACUGGAACUGAGACACGGUCCAGACUCCUACGGGAGGCAGCAGUAGGGAAUCUUCCGCAAUGGGCGAAAGCCUGACGGAGCAACGCCGCGUGAGUGAUGAAGGUCUUCGGAUCGUAAAACUCUGUUAUUAGGGAAGAACAAAUGUGUAAGUAACUAUGCACGUCUUGACGGUACCUAAUCAGAAAGCCACGGCUAACUACGUG
rnacentral:rRNA from 1 species